rnacentral:rRNA from 1 species
UGAGCAAUCUGCCCUUCUCAUCGGAAUAAGCGUUGGAAACGACGUCUAAUGCCGAAUACGACCUCCUUUCGCAUGAUCGGAGGUGGAAAGCUCCGGCGGAGAAGGAUGAGCUCGCGGCCUAUCAGCUAGUUGGUGUGGGUAAUGGCCCACCAAGGCGACGACGGGUAGCCGGCUUGAGAGGGUGACCCGGCCACACUGGGACUGAGACACGGCCCAGACCUCCGUACGGGAGGNAG